AAAAUAACUUCUUCUUCUACUAUAAUUUGACAGUUACAUCCUUUUAUUCUUCAAUUUCCACUAUCCUCAUAACUGUCCUUAAUCCCACUCUCUUCCAAAUUCCAAAACCGUUCAAAAAUUUUACGAUCCAUUUUCCCAAAUUCCUUUUCACUUUUCCUCACAUAAUUGGGAUUCUUCAUUGUUCUGAAGACAAAUACGCAACCUAUCAUGUUCACGGUGGUGUUUCUUGAGGUUUGUCAACGAUGGCGGUAAUUGGUUUCGCUUUCUAACGACCCUUCACAGUGGUCGGGUUUGAUUAAAUGAAUACAGGAAGAUGGUGGAGGAGUUGUACAAAUCUCCUGUGGCUUAAUUUAGAUCUCAGAGUUCUCAUGGAUUUUAUUUCUCUAUGUCUGAUGGUGUUUUGUUCUUGAUUGUAUUGGUAGUUAUGUUUAUAUUAUACUAACCCUUUCGUACUCCUCUUCUCACGACCUUCCUAAAGUAUUUUGAUUUAAUUUUUGAUUGAUUUGGUGUUGAUGAUGCUCACGGGUAUGUGCGAUAUGUUGGAACUGGUGAACACCUUCCCUGAAGAGAUGUCUCUGUUGGAAAGCAUAAAAGAGUGUAUUUGAUUUUAGAGUUUGCACCUAAAGGUGAACUUUACAAGGAGUUACAUAAAUGCAAAUAUUUUAGUGAAAGACGUGCAGCUACUGGCGAAUUGAAGAUUGCGGAUUUCGGAUGGUAGGUACACACAUUCAACCGUAGGAGGACCAUGUGUGGCACCCUGGAUUACCUUCCACCCGAGAUGGUGGAGAGUGUAGAACAUGAUACAAGUGUAUAUAUAUAGAGCCUUGGCAUUCUUUGAUACGAGUUUCUUUAUGGAGUCCUGCAUUUUGAGGCCAAAGAAUAUUCUGAUACUUAUAGGAAAGUAGCAGUCACUACGUAGUUGAAUUUAUAUCAUCAUGUAAUUGUACCUUUGUGUAAUUCUAUAAUGUUUUGUUGUUCAAAACUGGCUUU